UGGGGAAUCUUGGACAAUGGGCGCAAGCCUGAUCCAGCCAUGCCGCGUGAGUGAAGAAGGCCUUAGGGUUGUAAAACUCUUUCGCCGGAGAAGAUAAUGACGGUAUCCGGAGAAGAAGCCCCGGCUAACUUCGUGCCAGCAGCCGCGGUAAUACGAAGGGGGCUAGCGUUGUUCGGAAUUACUGGGCGUAAAGCGCACGUAGGCGGGUUUGUAAGUAGGGGGUGAAAUCCCUGGGCUCAACCCAGGAACUGCCUUCUAGACUGCAAGCCUGGAGGUCAGGAGAGGCGAGUGGAAUUCCGAGUGUAGAGGUGAAAUUCGUAGAUAUUCGGAGGAACACCAGUGGCGAAGGCGACUCGCUGGACUGAUACUGACGCUGAGGUGCGAAAGCGUGGGGAGCAAACAGGAUUAGAUACCCGCGUAGUCC
rnacentral:rRNA from 1 species